GACGAACGCUGGCGGCGUGCUUAACACAUGCAAGUCGAGCGGUAAGGCCCUUUUGGGGGUACACGAGCGGCGAACGGGUGAGUAACACGUGGGUGACCUGCCCUCAGCUCUGGGAUAAGCCUGGGAAACUGGGUCUAAUACUGGAUAUGACCUUUCCUCGCAUGGGGGUUGGGUGGAAAGUUUUUCGGCUGGGGAGUGGGCCCGCGGCCUAUCAGCUUGUUGGUGGGGUGAUGGCCUACCAAGGCGACGACGGGUAGCCGGCCUGAGAGGGCGACCGGCCACACUGGGACUGAGACACGGCCCAGACUCCUACGGGAGGGCAGCAGUGGGGAAUAUUGCGCAAUGGGCGGAAGCCUGACGCAGCGACGCCGCGUGGGGGA
rnacentral:rRNA from 1 species